GACUAGAGGAUUAUAGAGGACUAACAAGUGCUACUGGGAGAUUCUCGAGCACCAUUGAACCAAGAGAUUCCAAAUAGUUCUUUGGAGUCUAUUGUUGAUGUUGGCAGGGAUAAUCUAGCAGAGAUUUGUCAGAUUUUUUGUGCAACACGGAGGCUACAUGAGGCAGCAACGAUCCCAUUCUUCUCGCAUGCCACUUUACACAAGCUA